UACGUAGGGUGCAAGCGUUAAUCGGAAUUACUGGGCGUAAAGCGUGCGCAGGCGGUUGUGCAAGACAGAUGUGAAAUCCCCGGGCUUAACCUGGGAACUGCAUUUGUGACUGCACGGCUAGAGUGUGUCAGAGGGGGGUAGAAUUCCACGUGUAGCAGUGAAAUGCGUAGAUAUGUGGAGGAAUACCGAUGGCGAAGGCAGCCCCCUGGGAUAACACUGACGCUCAUGCGCGAAAGCGUGGGGAGCAAACAGG
rnacentral:rRNA from 1 species